AACGCACCUUGCGCUCCUUGGUAUUCCGAGGAGCAUGCCUGUUUGAGUGUCAUUAAAUUCUCAAACCCUUCCAGCUUUUGUGUGGCUUGGAAGUGGCUUGGAUCGUUGGGGGUUUUCUGCAGGCCUCUCUUGUUGAGGUUGGCUCCCCUGAAAUGCAUUAGCGGAACUGUCUGCGGUCACUGGUGUGAUAAACUAUCUGCACCAAAGCACUGGCUGCUUUCUGUUUGGCUUCCAAUCUGUCCUAUACCCUGGACAACUUUCAUGAACUUUGACCUCAAAUCAGGUAGGACUACCCGCUGAACUUAA
rnacentral:misc_RNA from 1 species